rnacentral:rRNA from 1 species
GAUGAACGCUGGCGGCGUGCUUAACACAUGCAAGUCGAACGGAAAGGCCCAAGCUUGCUUGGGUACUCGAGUGGCGAACGGGUGAGUAACACGUGGGUGAUCUGCCCUGCACUUCGGGAUAAGCCUGGGAAACUGGGUCUAAUACCGGAUAGGACGAUGGUUUGGAUGCCAUUGUGGAAAGUUUUUUCGGUGUGGGAUGAGCUCGCGACCUAUCAGCUUGUUGGUGGGGUAAUGGCCUACCAAGGCGUCGACGGGUAGCCGGCCUGAGAGGGUGUACGGCCACAUUGGGACUGAGAUACGGCCCAGACUCCUACGGGAGGCAGCAGUGGGGAAUAUUGCACAAUGGGCGCAAGCCUGAUGCAGCGACGCCGCGUGGGGGUUGACGGCCUUCGGGUUGUAAACUCCUUUCGCUAGGGACGAAGCGUUUUUGUGACGGUACCUGGAGAAGAAGCACCGGCUAACUACGUG